AAUAUUGGACAAUGGGCGAGAGCCUGAUCCAGCCAUGCCGCGUGUGUGAAGAAGGUCUUCGGAUUGUAAAGCACUUUAAGUUGGGAGGAAGGGGUUGAAGCUAAUACCUUCAAUUUUGACGUUACCAACAGAAUAAGCACCGGCUAACUUCGUGCCAGCAGCCGCGGUAAUACGAAUGGUGCAAGCGUUAAUCGGAAUUACUGGGCGUAAAGGUAGCGUAGGUGAUUUGUCAAGUUGGAAGUGAAAGCCCCGGGCUCAACCUGGGAACUGCUUUCAAAACUGGCAAGCUAGAGUAUGGCAGAGGGUGGUGGAAUUACCUGUGUAGCGGUGAAAUGCGUAGAUAUAGGAAGGAACAUCAGUGGCGAAGGCGACCACCUGGGCUAAUACUGACACUGAGGUGCGAAAGCGUGGGGAGCAAACAGG
rnacentral:rRNA from 1 species